UUGCGGGCAGGCACCUCCCCUCCAUCACAGGUGGAGCAGCAGUAUGGGGUCGAUUCCACUCGCACGUCCUUUCCGCCCUCCAUCUCACACAGCCAGGCUGGAGGAAUCAACAAUCACCUCGCAACUUCCUCAUACUGACCAGCCAAUCACGGGCUCCCUCUGCGCCGACGUCAUAUUGGACUACCUCUCCAGGCUGCAGCACCACAGAUGUCUGCCCAGUAGAGGGCAGUAAACGUCAAGGAUUAUUACCAAAGCAUGUACAUUAGAAGGGACUCGGAUCAUCCUUCGGUGAACCAGGGAUCAUCAAGUGUGAGAAUAUACCAACUCCAGUCUUUUGCUCCGUAUGGUGCCUACCUGCACGGUCGGCCUUCAAAGUGUCCCAGACGUUGCAGUUGAAAUCGUCAUAGCCAGCCAGCAGUAGGCGGCCACUCU